rnacentral:lncRNA from 9 species
CUAAAGGCUAAGAGGUAAGCUAUAUUAUUCAGACUUAGUAACAAAGCUUAUGUUAAUUUAACAUGACAUGUAGCAUGUUAGGUUAAUAUGAUUUGGAUUACAUGUACCAUUUUUAGAAAUUGAUGUGUUUGUUGCUAGUUCCUCCUGACAUUUUUGAACUAUAAUAUGGAUGCAAUACUUCUCCAACAAAGAAGGUAAUUCUCACUAGUGAAGGUAAUUAAUGGUUAUUUGAUCAUAUUACAGCAUAGAAAUGAUGUUUUUGCUACACAAUAGGUUUCCUAAUUGGUGAUCCAAGGAUGACCAUGUUCAUUUUCUGCCGAUAGCGAUUUCCUACUGUGCAUGGCAUUAUCUCUUAAUACUCUGAUAGCAGUAAAUCAUGGUCAUAGCCAGUAAGAAAAUUAAUUUACAAUGCUUCAACAAUCAUUAUAAAAGGCCUAAUAAUGCUAAUUUAGGUGUAGUCAUCUAAUUAGUUAAUUAAAUAGGACCUUGCUGCCAAUCUCCUACAAUGGCACAUACUGUGUUGUAGGUGUUUGCUAGAGCUGAACAAAGCCGGAGAAAGGUAAAUGAGUACACAUUGACCCCCACUCAUGCAUUGAUGUUUAUAGUUAGGAAAACACAAGCAGAAGCAAUUGCUUUACUCAAAACCAGAAGCAAACAACCAAUUUUUUUUAAAAAAAGGUUGUUUUGUUCUUAUUUUAUGAGGAAAAAAUUCUGCCAGCUUAUUUGCUAGCUUUACAAACUCUCCAAAAAUAUCCUAAUUUUUGAUUUCUGAAGUUCAAAACAGUCUCACAAGUUUAUUACCCCCUGGUUUUUCUUAAAGAGAGUUAAAAACUCACUACCAACAUCUCCAUCUAUUAAACUGCUCUUCGUUGCAGUGCUUAGAUCUAAUUUAUAAAACUUGUAUACGCACAUAGGCCAUAAACAAAAAUGGAGUUUCUAAUUUUAAUUAGCUUGUCUAGCUGGUGGUCCCACAUAGCUGGGAAUUCAGCAGAGGUCCCAGUUACUUCUCCCCUUUCAGCUUUUGUUAUUUCACACUAAUAGGUUUUUGUAUUUUUAGUCUGUCUUCAUGUGAGAAGUACCCUGUCCCUUCAGUGAGUUUAGCUGCUUUUCCCUGGGCCUUGCCAGAUGUCCUAAUUCUUUUUUUUUUUUUUUUUUUUGACCUGUGGAGGGGUACAGAGGGCAAGCAUUGGGACAACCAGAACAUCACGUAUUUCUCAUUUGAAUGCAGCAUAAUUGCUCAGAAAGAUCUAUCUUUACCAAUAAGGGUCACCUUUCAAAUCACUUCAGAAUGA